rnacentral:rRNA from 1 species
AUUGAACGCUGGCGGCGGGCCUAACACAUGCAAGUCGAGCGGAUGAAGGGAGCUUGCUCCUGGAUUCAGCGGCGGACGGGUGAGUAAUGCCUAGGAAUCUGCCUGGUAGUGGUGGAUAACGUCCUGAAACGGGCGCUAAUACCGCAUACGUCCUGAUGGUGAAAGUGGGGGAUCUUCGGACCUUUCGCUAUCUGAUGAGCCUAGGUCGGAUUAGCUAGUUGGUGGGGUAAAGGCCUACCAAGGCGACGAUCCGUAACUGGUCUGAGAGGAUGAUCAGUCACACUGGAACUGAGACACGGUCCAGAGUCCUAAGGGAGGCAGCAGUGGGGAAUAUUGGACAAUGGGCGAAAGCCUGAUCCAGCCAUGCCGAGUGUGUGAAGAAGGUCUUCGGAUUGUAAAGCACUUUAAGUUGGGAGGAAGGGCAGUAAGUUAAUACCUUGCUGUAUUGACGUUACCAACAGAAUAAGCACCGGCUAACUUCGUG